ACAAAAGAAAAAUUUCUCCUACAAUAGUAUGAGAAGGUAAGACCAGAAAGGUUUCACCAGAAAGGGUGACUAUUGGUCACACUGUUUGAAAUGCUAGUGGAACAUGACAAAUAAAUUGUCCUUUUUCCCAUAUUCAUCUCCUCUUCUUGCCUAUGUUUACCUUCUACAUCUUUACUUCAGAGAAGUAGUUGGAGGACUCAGUAACCCUAGUUCCAAAAGAGGAAAUUGCCUUAGUUCAAAGAAUUUCUCUCUUUAUCUUACUUUUGUGUAUUUGUGUGUGUAUGUGUGGGUAAGAAUUACAUCUCAGCAUGAUGGGUUUUUUUUGUUUUUUUUGUUUUUUUUUUAAAUGUUCCAUUUUAAGUCUAUCCCUUUACUUUAGGAGGCAGAGAGCUUUUCUCUCCAGUAUGGCAGAAGAGCAGGGGAUCUAGUUUCAGGCCGACUCCUGACCUGGAACACUUUUGUUUUGCUGGCUAACCCAAUGCCAGUGGCUACAAGGCUAAGCUGGACUGGUUAAGUUUCUCCAGUGAAAUGCAAAAUGAGAUCUUCUGCUUUUCCUGAGCUUAGAUAAAGUGUUGUUUUCAAGUAGUUGUUGAGAGAGUGUGGUGAAAGCUAUCUUCAAAGCAGAAAAAAGCAGUUAGCACAUAAGUUACCUUUCCUGAUAGCUGUUCAUAAAAACACACUGAAUAUUCUCAUCUAGAGUCAACAUAUUUAGUUUUUCCACAGCAGAGUUCUAUACCUAAGACAGGAUUUAUAUGCUGUAAACAAAGUGAAAGGCAUUUCAGAAUUAUCAAGUUAAUAUAAGAGGCAUUCCUUAUUUCUAUAUCUGACCCUUGAAUGACCUAAUAAAUAAAUUAACAUUCCAAGUCCCCUAUCGCACAAGCAAGAGGAAGGCCUUAUCCGGCCUCUGCUUAAUGAAAACAAUGUAGUUGAUAAACCUAAUCCUCAAAGAUAUGUAACCUGAGUUUGUUAACCAGUAGUUUUGAGAGCAGAGAAGUGCGUGUUAGGAGCAAAGAUGCAAGAGCACCAUCAUUACCUUUAUAAAACUACUUAUGUACCUACAGAUAGGUUUCCUGUGUCAGGUGUGCCUCUCCCGCCCAAAUCCUCCAAAGUAACACUGCACAGUAAUUCAAGAGAUUCAAGCCAAAUAAAAUCAAGUUUCAGUGCUUCACAGACUCAGGUAUUCAUUUUACUUUAGCUCUGCAGUGUUCUCCCAUUUUGACUUCUAUCUGUAAUAACAGAGCUCGUUUGUACUAUUUACAUAAAGAGGUUUUACCGUCUAUUUUGUAAGCAUAUCUCCACACACAAAUCUGCUUUCUAAGGUCAGACACCCGCAGGAAGAAAUCCAAUAAGUCAGAUAAAGACUAUUACUGAAAACAUUAUAAUGUACUUUGUCAUCACAGGUGUGCACUUGUCUCUAGUAAUGACUUAAAGCAAAGACUUUUUAAAUGUCAUUAGUUAAAGCCAAAAUUAUAUUUGCCUUUGUACGAAAGGGAAUUAUGUACCUCAUAACAAUUAUUUUCUGCUCUUGAAUAGCACACAAACAAUACCAUCAUAUCUCCAUUCCAGAAGCAGAUUUGAAAAUGUGUCAUUGGGAACAAGGGGAAGAAAGCUAAUCCGAGAUACCACAGUCCAAAACAGAUGCCAAAAUCAUUUAAGCUUCAUAGUAAGACACAUGCCAUCCAUUAACGAGAUAGAUUGAUCUAAAAUACAAACUCAGAACUGAAGACUGAGUGUAUUUAAACAAAGCUUUAUUGAACAAAAUGUCUUUGUAUUUUUUCAUAUUGCUUGCAGGGGUAUUUGUGUUAUGAAUAUGUGAGGAAAAAUGCAGAACAGUGACUUCUGUUUUAAUACUAACUUAAUUAUUGCAGACAAUUAGUUUUUUUUUCUAAGCUAGAAACAUGCAACUGUUGCUACUUUAACAAACAAGUAAGCAAAACCUAAGCAUAAACAUGCAUUGAUAGAAAUACAUUACUGCCCUAUGCUUUUAUACUAAGAGUAAAACAGUGAUGAAUUUGUAUUCUGAACUUUUAUACCAGACAAUUAUGUCCUGACAUAUUUCCUAAAGUCCUAAGUAUUCAAAUCAGUAGACAAUUGUUUUUUUUUGUUUUUUUUUCCAGUUCUACCUUGUGUAUAAUUAAUGCAUCUAUAAAGCAUUUAUUCUGCACUUCCUCUGCAUCAUAAACAACCUUAAGCAGUGUUGUGUUUCACACAGGACUAGGGGAUAGUAUUCAAGUAAACUACAGAGGCUGAUUUCAACAGAAAAUACAUGGUGCUUGCAAGAACUCUCUCUAGGGUGCCCUGUGACCUUUGCUUUCUACUAAGUCAGUAUUUUUGCUUCCUGAAUUAUGCAAUGCAUUACAUUAGCAAAGCUUAAACUAUGAUAAGACCAAAACUUGUUUUCUCAUGAAUACAAUUAAGGGAUUUUCUAUUAAACAAUUUCCUUAAAGAAGUAAUACACGUAAUUCAAACACAAAAUUAAUUUGGAGAUCUGUUUUAUAACAGAAAAAUGUUUAGAUUCCUCCACAACAUAUUUUCCCCUGAAAUUACACCAAGAUUUAAAGAUAUCCUCAUUAUUUUAUUAAAAAAAGAAAUCUUUAUAAAAAAGUUAUAAAGUUAUAUAAGUUAACAUAAAAGUUAUCUAAAAUGAUUAAAAUUGAAGUGAAACUACAGUCUUUAUAAUCUCAGAAAGACCUGAUUAGUCAGAAGUUAUUUAACCUGCACACUGCAUACAUAUUUCAAACUUUGCUUCUUAGAUGGACUCCUAGGAAUUAGGUCUUAAAAGUCUGUGGAGCUUAAUGGGGUUCAGACUCUAAAGGUAGCAAAGGAGGAUUAUUGUAGGAUUAACACACCAGCGCUCAUUUUGUGUCAGUUUUGCAGCAGUAUCCCCUCUUGCAUCCCUUUACCAUUAAAUUUAUUCUGAUUUUAAACUACCAAAACCAGCAUCAGAAUUAAAUUCUUAGUCAUUCUCAAAUAUCACCCUACACAUAAGCAUCAUCGCUGUCAAAGCUAUGACCUCACUUGUGAUUAUGUUCUCACUCAGAUUCCACAGGCUGCAUGUCAAGGUUGUUUAGGCUCCUGAAGGCGUCUUGAAUGUACAUAAUCUUGACAAUCCCUUAAGGCAGUCUUAAGAUUCCUACUAACUUACUGUAUGUUAUGAAAUCCUUUUUUAUUUUCAUAAACUGUAGGAUUGAGCCUUUCAAUGACGGCCUUGCUAAUUUGACUGGAAAAAGUCUUUUUAAAAUAAGUUCACAAAUCACCAUCUUUUUAAACAAAAAUCAUGCGUAUUAUACUGGGAUCAAUUAAACCAUUAUUCAUAUACAGGGGCUGAACAGACCAUCCUGUGUGCACACAAGCACGCACAACCAGCAGUGCUCUCCUUUCUGUUCUCACCCUUUUCCCUCUUUUUUGUGUUACUCUUCCUGCAACACUGGACCCCAGGAUCGAUGUUUUGGACCUUCAUCAAUAACACCAGCAUGACAGCAGACAGCCCCUGCCGCUUAGUCAUCUGAAUGUGGAGCAAUGAGAGGCCUUCAGCACAGAAUCCCAGCAUCAACCACCACAAGUCAGCUAUGCACGAAAUGCACAGCUUACAACUGAAUCACUGUGCAGUCAGAAAAGGAAAGGGGAAAAAUAUGAAAAGCAAAGACUGCACGUGUACAAGUACUCAACCACCAAGCACAAUUCAACUUGGGGUCACAGUCACAGAGCUUUCUUCCUGCUGUGCUGAUUCAGCAUUCUUUUUCAUAAAUGCAAGCAAAGAACCAGAAGCCAAAAGAAAGAAGAGAAUAUAACGCUAACCACUGCAACUUACCUACUUGAUCAGAAAAAAUAAAAGGACCAGAAGGCAAAGUGCACUGCAGAUUGUACCCAUAAAAUAGAGUAUGAUGGAAAAAUAAACUGAUUGAAAUGCCUUUAUUUUUCCAAAAGAUAAA